AACUAUUUCUUUUAUUAUUUUUUUCUUUUUAAUUUGCGGGUUAUGUUGUUGCAAGAUGUGUUGAGUUGGGUAAAACGGGAAUUUUUUUUUGUUGCAUUCCUAGAAGCACCAAAUAGUCAUUUGGAGGGUGAUGCCUUGAAUGGCUAUUCAACGUUUUUAUUGAAUUAGGUUAUAAUCACUUAUUCGUCUGAAUGAUAUUACUAACAACCAAACUACUGAAUGGAGGGACCGUGUCAAAUAUGGCUUGAAUAACA
rnacentral:lncRNA from 1 species